rnacentral:rRNA from 1 species
CGCAGUGACAGGUGGUGCAUGGCUGUCGUCAGCUCGUGUCGUGAGAUGUUGGGUUAAGUCCCGCAACGAGCGCAACCCACGUCGUUAGUUGCCAGCAUUCAGUUGGGCACUCUAGCGAGACCGCCGGUGAUAAACCGGAGGAAGGUGUGGAUGGCGUCAAGUCAUCAUGCCCCUUACAUCCUGGGCUACACACGUACUACAAUGCUACGGACAAAGGGCCGCAAGCUCGCGAGAGUUAGCAAAUCCCAUAAACCGUGGCUCAGUUCAGAUCGUAGGCUGCAACUCGCCUACGUGAAGGAGGAAUCGCUAGUAAUCGCAGGUCAGCAUACUGCGGUGAAUACGUUCCCGGGCCUUGUACACACCGCCCGUCACACCAUGAAGUGGCC